rnacentral:tRNA from 1 species
GCCUCUGUGGCGAAAUGGUAGACGCGACAGACUCAAAAUCUGUUAUCCUUAUGGAUGUGCUGGUUCAAAUCCUGCCAGAGGCACCA